rnacentral:rRNA from 1 species
ACUCCUACGGGAGGCAGCAGUGGGAAUAUUGGACAAUGGGAACCGUAGCAUGCAGCCAUGCCGCGUGUGUGAAGAAGGCCUUCGGGUUGUAAAGCACUUUCAGUAGGGAGGAAGGUAGUGUAGUUAACACCUGCAUUAUUUGACGUUACCUACAGAAGAAGCACCGGCUAACUCCGUGCCAGCAGCCGCGGUAAUACGGAGGGUGCGAGCGUUAAUCGGAAUUACUGGGCGUAAAGCGCAUGCAGGCGGCCUGUUAAGUCAGAUGUGAAAGCCCGGGCUUAAGCCUCGGAAUUGCAUUUGAACUGGCAGGCUAGAGUCUUGUAGAGGGGUGAGAAUUGAUCGAGGUGUAGCGGUGAAAGUGCAGUAGAGAUCUGAAGG